GACGAAGAUGAGUGAAGUGCAAUAAAAAGCUGAGCUACCUAACUUUGUUUUUGCAUUACUGCAUUUUUUGCUCAUCCCGAAAAAGUUUUCAUAAAAUUUACCUUGUAUAGUAAAUGCACCCCCCAACUUUGCUUCGGUUUUUCG
rnacentral:lncRNA from 1 species